UACGAAGGGGGCUAGCGUUGCUCGGAAUCACUGGGCGUAAAGCGCACGUAGGCGGCUUGUUAAGUCAGGGGUGAAAUCCUGGAGCUCAACUCCAGAACUGCCCCUUGAUACUGGCAAGCUUGAGUUCGGGAGAGGUGAGUGGAACUGCGAGUGUAGAGGUGAAAAUUCGUAGAUAUUCGCAAGAACACCAGUGGCGAAGGCGGCUCACUGGCCCGAUACUGACGCUGAGGUGCGAAAAGCGUGGGGGAGCAAACAGG
rnacentral:rRNA from 1 species